UUUUUUAGGUUUGAAAACUUUUUUUUUUAGAAAAAAAAUAGUAUGCUAUCUGUUUCAUUUAUUUCUUUUAAAAAUAAAUUUAACUGAAAAUGUGAAUCAAUUAUAAUUCAAACAUGAGAUCUUUGAUACUAACCACCAAGUUCUUUACCACUUGCGUUAGAAAUAAUCGGUUAGGUUUAAAAACUAACAACAAAUAGAA
rnacentral:lncRNA from 1 species